rnacentral:rRNA from 1 species
GAUGAACGCUAGCGACAGGCCUAACACAUGCAAGUCGAGGGGCAGCACAUGAGUAGCAAUACGAUGGUGGCGACCGGCGCACGGGUGAGUAACACGUAUGCAACCUGCCUGUAAGAGGGGAAUAACCCGGAGAAAUUCGGACUAAUACCGCAUAAUACCACGAGACUGCAUGGUUUUGUGGUUAAACAUUUAUGGCUUACAGAUGGGCAUGCGUAUGAUUAGAUAGUUGGUAGGGUAACGGCCUACCAAGUCUACGAACAUUAGGGGUUCUGAGAGGAAGGUCCCCCACACGGGUACUGGGACACGGGCCAGACUCCUACGGGAGGCAGCAGUGAGGAAUAUUGGUCAAUGGGCGAGAGCAUGAACCAGCCAAGUCGCGUGAAGGAAGAAGGUUCUAUGGAUUGUCAACUUCUUUUGCAGGGGAAUAAAGGACGGUACGUGUACUGUUUUGUAUGUACCUUGCGAAUAAGGAUCGGCUAACUCCGUGCCAGCAGCCGCGGUAAUAC